rnacentral:rRNA from 1 species
CCUACGGGAGGCUGCAGUGAGGAAUAUUGGUCAAUGGCCGGAAGGCUGAACCAGCCAUGCCGCGUGAAGGUCAGUGCCCUAUGGGCGUUAAACUUCUUUUGUGCGGGAGCAAUACUGGUCACGUGUGGCCAGACGAGAGUACCGUACGAAUAAGCAUCGGCUAACUCCGUGCCAGCAGCCGCGGUAAUACGGGGGAUGCAAGCGUUAUCCGGAUUUAUUGGGUUUAAAGGGUGCGUAGGCUGUGAGGUAAGUCAGCGGGGAAAUGCCCCCGCUCAACGGGGUGAAGUGCCAUUGAUACUGCCUUGCUGGAAUGCGGAUGCCGUGGGAGGAAUGUGUGGUGUAGCGGUGAAAUGCAUAGAUAUCACACAGAACACCGAUUGCGAAGGCAUCUCACGAAUCCGCGAUUGACGCUGAUGCACGAAAGCGUGGGUAUCAAACAGGAUUAGAUACCCCAGUAGUC